rnacentral:rRNA from 1 species
AUUGAACGCUUGCGGCAGGCCUAACACAUGCAAGUCGAGCGAGCGGCGGACGGGUGCGUAAUGUAUGGGGACUGCCCGAUAGAGGGGGAUACCUACUGGAAACGGUAGCUAAUACCGCAUACUAUCGGAUAACCCAUAUGGGAUUAGCUAGUAGGUGAGGUAAUGGCUCACCUAGGCGACGAUCCCUAGCUGGGCUGAGAGGAUGAUCAGCCACACUGGAACUGAGACACGGCCCAGACUCCAAGGGAGGCAGCAAUGGUGAAUAUUGCACAAUGGGCGCAAGCCGGAUGCAGCCAUGCCGCGUGUAUGAAGAAGGCCCUAGGGUUGUAAAGUACUUUCAGUCGGGAGGCGUUACCGACAGAAGAGGCACCGGCUAACUCCGUGCCAGAAGCCGCGGUAAUAC